UCUCUUCUGGAUGACCAUUUCACAACAACAAAACCAACCAAACGGUCUCUUUUUUAAAAUUUUGGUAGCUAGAUCUGAAUAUUACAAAGUGCUUGCCUCUCCAUGCUGCGGUGCCGCAUCUUAGCAGUGAGCCUGACCGUAGUGAGAUGGUGACCGAGUGCCCGGAGAAGCGCCCUACUCCACACCCCGCACUCUCUUUCAACUCCAGCUGAUGUCAAAAUGUCAGCUCCACCGAAUGCACCGUGCAGAACUUGAGGGCGGAGUCUGCCAGCAUCCCACCAUUUCCGGGAAGGAGGUUCCAUUGCUUCCAGCUAAUCCUUUGACCAUGGGAAAAGGAACAGGAUUGGUCCACACAGCUCCUGCCCAUGAGAUGGAGAACUACAGUGUGGUCUUGAACUAACAGUGUGAUUUCCAUGCUGAAGGCGGUCGGUGCUCUAGUGAAGGAGGAGGAGUGUGUCCACAGCUAUCCAGCCUGUAGUCAUCAGACCCAGCAAAUAGUGGUUCAUCAACACCGCCAGCCUCGAAGACAAUGCCAAGGCAGGAGUCGCACACUGGGAAUAACUCUUAUAAACAGCGAAUGAUUCUCAGUUCUCACUGGGAUAAAUUUAAGAAAUAUUAUUUCAAACAGGCAUUGACUCUAACUCACGUAACUUAGAACAAGUCCCACACAGUUAGUUGGACUCUUAGAAACUGAGAAUGUGUCUUUCUCUAGGAUCAAGAAACUCUUUCUGACUGUGUGUGUAGGACGGGCUGGCAAAGAUGCGUGUAAUGCCAGAGUCAGCGAGGGGCCGUCUGUUUGCCCAGCUGGACAGGAGACCGUCCUGGUGUAUCUCUCACCAGAGAAGCUGGGGUAUGCCCAUACCUGUUUUCUACCACAUAGAGACAGGAGAGCCUCUCAUGAACAAGUAAUUACAUACAUGCACACACACAAACCACAACCCCACUCUGACCCCUGCACUCUCCCCAUGUGGCCCAGUUGUUCUCAGAGAAGGGAAGUGACUGCUGGUGGGAGCUGCCCCUGGAAUCCCUACUGCCCCCUGAGGAGCUCAAGAAGGUGAAUCACUGCAGUGCAGUGCAGAGCAGGGAACAGUAUAUAUACAGUGCCUUCGGAAGGUAUUCACACCCCUUGACCUUUUCCACAUUUUGUUGUGUUAAAAAGUGGGAUUAAAAUGUAUUGAAUUGUAAUUUUUCUGUCAAUGAUCUACCCAAAGUACUCUGUCAAAGUGGAAGAAAAGUUCUAAAAAAAAUGUAUGAAUGGAAAAAAACCCACUAAUAUAUCUUGAUUAUAUAAGUGUUCAACCCAGUGAGUCAAUACAUGUUAGAAUCACCUUUGGCAGUGAUUACAGCUGAGAGUCUUUCUGGUUAAGUCUAAGAGCUUUGCAGACCUGGAUUGUACAAUAUUUGCCCAUUGCUCUUGAAAAAAUGUGUCAAGCUCUGUCAAGUUAUUGACCAUUGCUAGACGGACAUUUUCAAGUCUUGCAAUAGAUUUUCAAGCCGAUUUCAGUCAAAACUGUAACUAGGCCACUCAGGAACAUUCAAUGUGGUCUUGGUAAGUAACUCCAGUGUAUAUUUGGCCUUGUAUUUUAGAUUUUUUUUCCUGCUGAAAGGUUCAUUUGUCUCCUAGUGUCUGUUGGAAAGCAGAUCGAACAAGAAUUCCUUCCAGGAUUUUGCCUGUACUUAGCUCUAUUCUGUUUACUUUGUCCUAAAAAACUGCCUCGUCCUUGCUGAUUACAAGCAUACCCACCACCAUUCUUGAAAAUAUGAAAAUACCCAGUGAUGUGUUGUGUUGAAUUUGCCCCAAACAUAAAUGCAUUCUGUUCAGGAUAAAAAGUGAUUUUCUUUGCCAUAUUAUUUACAGUAUUACUUUUGUGCCUUAUUGCAAACAGGAUGUAUGUUCCUUCUUUUCACUCGGUCAUUUAUUUUAGCAUUGUGGAGUAACUACAAUGUUGUUGAGCCAUCCUCCGUUACCUCCUAUCACAU